CCGCCAGCUAUUAAGCCGCAAUCCAAGUAGCUCCAGCUGCUCUAUCCCUGCCAUUUUCCACCAGGAAGUGCCACAUUUGGCUAAGCGGCGUGCUGGCUCUCAGUUGCCUCUGAUGCCUCUUUGACGUCUCCCCAGGCUGCCAUCGGCCCAGGAGCCGAGAUUUCCUCCACACCGCAGAAUCCCGUUUCUCCGUUGCCGGCCCAGGGAAGAGAAAUUCUCCAGGCUAAAGUCGGUUGUCAUUAGGAAGUCUAGCAAAGAAAACACGCUGUCAAGGUUACGAACCCCCGUGUGGAAAUAGAGACUGUGCCCAAUUUGAUUGUAUAUUGAAUUUACCCCGGUGCUUAGCACGGAUCUGCUUAACAAAUACCACUGUUAUUAUUAUCAUUACAACUGGAACUUGGAUUGAAACGGCAUGAUGUAGAGCCCGAAGAGCUUUCACAGAUAAGAUUGUUUUAUGAUAAUCUGGGAAUGAAAGAUUCAUUUCUAUCUGGCAUGUCCACCGGACAACCCUGAUAAGCGCCCACAGCCAAACCUCAGCAGAGAUCAUCUGGGGCAAAGCGGACGGAUGUGUUUGGAGCCCGGCACAGAAGGCCCAAAAACCUGGACGUCAACAUGUCUGCCUGAUGAACAGACUGCACUUCAGGCUUUCCCUCUCAUCCCCAACCACGGCCUCUCCCUCAGGGGCUCGACAAAAAGGCGGCUUGCCAAAUUACACCGGGAAAUGAUCAAACGUCAGGUUCCCUUUGGGGAAGGUUGGCUCACCUGUCAGCUCACCCUCACUCCUCUGUCACCUGGAAGCCAGGUGAGGGUGUGAAGACCAGGACUGCCAACACAAAGAGGAAAUUUCCUGCUAGUAGCCUGCUCUUCUCACUGCUCCUGGGGGACCCCAAAAUCAGGGGAUGAGGGGUUACGUCUACCCUGGCUGUGGUAGGCUCCAAAACCUUCCUCAAGCUCGGAGACCUGAUCCUCUACACUAAGCUCGUGUGGGCAGGGAAUGUAUCUUAUCGUACAGUGCUCUGCACAAGGAAAUAAAUAAUG